GCCCCCCCCACCCUAAAGCUUCCCCCCCCACCUGAAAACCAACCCCCCCGGCCCUAUAGCGCCCCCAUCCCCCGCCAUCCCCUGCGCUGGGCCGUAUCCCCCCCCCCCCGCUGACCCCAAAUACCGGCCGUGCCUUGUCCCCACCCCCGGCCCCAUAUGGGCUGUGCCCUGUCCCGGUUCCGACCCCAUAAAGGCCGUGCCUUGUCCCGGUUCCGUCACCCCACAUGGGCUGUGCUUUGUCCCGGUUCCGACCCCAUAAAGGCCGUGCUUGGUCCCGGUUCGGUCCCCGGUCCCGGUUCCGUCCCCAUAUCAGCCGUGCCCCCCCCAUGUCUGUACCCCCCCUUUCGGGCCGUGCCUUGGCCCGGUUCGGUCCCCAUACGGGCCACGUCUUGUCCCGGUUCCGACCCCCCAUAUGGGCCGUGCCUUGGCCCGGUUCCGUCCCAUAUCAGCCGUGCCCCCCCCCCCAUAAUGACAAGGUCCCGGUCCCGGUUCCGGUUGGGGUUUAUUGGGGGGGUCCCGUCCGGGCUGUUCGCUCCCGAACCCAAUAAAGAUCCUGACGGUACCGAACCGGACCGGACCGAGGGNNNNNNNNNNNNNNNNNNNNNNNNNUGGGGUGGGUAUGGGGUGGUUGUGGGGUAUGGGGUGGGUAUGGGGUGA
rnacentral:lncRNA from 1 species